rnacentral:rRNA from 1 species
UACGUAGGGUGCAAGCGUUGUCCGGAAUUAUUGGGCGUAAAGAGCUUGUAGGCGGUUUGUCGCGUCUGCUGUGAAAUUUCGGGGCUCAACCCCGAGCUUGCAGUGGGUACGGGCAGACUAGAGUGUUGCAGGGGAGACUGGAAUUCCUGGUGCAGCGGUGGAAUGCGCAGAUAUCAGGAGGAACACCGAUGGCGAAGGCAGGUCACUGGGCCGCAACUGACGCUGAGGAGCGAAAGCAUGGGGAGCGAACAGG